rnacentral:rRNA from 1 species
UAUGUGAUCGUCUCUCGCAUAUCAAUAAGCGGAGGAAAAGAAACUAACAAGGAUUCCCCUAGUAACGGCGAGUGAAGCGGGAAGAGCUCAAAUUUGAAAUCUUAAAGGGUUUCCCUUUACGAAUUGUAGUUUAAAGAAGUGUUUUCUGUUGAGGUUUUGGUAAAAGUUCUUUGGAAUAGGACAUCAUAGAGGGUGAGAAUCCCGUAUUUGACCUUUACUUUCAACUUUGUGAUACACUUUCAAAGAGUCGGAUUGUUUGGGAAUGCAGUCCAAAAUGGGUGGUAAAUUUCAUCUAAAGCUAAAUAUUGGCGAGAGACCGAUAGCGAACAAGUACCGUGAGGGAAAGAUGAAAAGAACUUUGAAAAGAGAGUUAAACAGUACGUGAAAUUGUCAAAAGGGAAGCGUUUGACACCAGUGUUGUUUUUCUGAAAAUCAAUUAAAGAACUGUUUAUGCUAAGUUGUUUAGACUUUAUCAGCUAACUGUUUAGUUUUGAGCUUUUCUUUAAUGCACUUUUCAGGUUAACAAGUCAACAUCAAUUUCUUUUGCUGUAAAAAAGCUUGAGGAAGGUGGCUUGAGAUUCGUCUUAAGUGUUUAUAGCCUCUUGCCUAUGCAGUCGGAGAGAUUGAGGUCUGCAGCGUAGAUCCUUCGGGGCUAAAUGCAUUUGUGCUAAGUUAUAGCAUUUUAUAGACAACUUGUUGACUAUGAUUUGUCUUGUAGCUUACUCGCUUAAGUGUUAUUUUACCUACGCUUAGGAUGUUGAUCUACAGAGCGAGAGU